rnacentral:rRNA from 1 species
CGGUAGCACAGGGGAGCUUGCUCCCCGGGUGACGAGCGGCGGACGGGUGAGUAAUGUCUGGGAAACUGCCUGAUGGAGGGGGAUAACUACUGGAAACGGUAGCUAAUACCGCAUAACGUCGCAAGACCAAAGAGGGGGACCUUCGGGCCUCUUGCCAUCGAUGUGCCCAGAUGGGAUUAGCUAGUAGGUGGGGUAAUGGCUCACCUAGGCGACGAUCCCUAGCUGGUCUGAGAGGAUGACCAGCCACACUGGAACUGAGACACGGUCCAGACUCCUACGGGAGGCAGCAGUGGGGAAUAUUGCACAAUGGGCGCAAGCCUGAUGCAGCCAUGCCGCGUGUGUGAAGAAGGCCUUCGGGUUGUAAAGCACUUUCAGCGAGGAGGAAGGUGAUGAGCUUAAUACGUUCAUCAAUUGACGUUACUCGCAGAAGAAGCACCGGCUAACUCCGUGCCAGCAGCCGCGGUAAUACGGAGGGUGCAAGCGUUAAUCGGAAUUACUGGGCGUAAAGCGCACGCAGGCGGUUUGUUAAGUCAGAUGUGAAAUCCCCGGGCUCAACCUGGGAACUGCAUUUGAAACUGGCAAGCUAGAGUCUCGUAGAGGGGGGUAGAAUUCCAGGUGUAGCGGUGAAAUGCGUAGAGAUCUGGAGGAAUACCGGUGGCGAAGGCGGCCCC